CAUCCCUAUAACGAGUUAAUGAAAAUUUAAAGUAGUGGGCUGAUGAGAACACAAUUCUGAGGGAUG